GACAGCAGUAGCCACGGGAAUACGGAGGGUGCAAGCGUUACUCGGAAUCACUGGGCGUAAAGGACGCGUAGGCGGAUUAUCAAGUCUCUUGUGAAAUCUAACGGCUUAACCGUUAAACUGCUUGGGAAACUGAUAAUCUAGAGUAAGGGAGAGGCAGAUGGAAUUCUUGGUGUAGGGGUAAGAUCCGUAGAGAUCAAGAAGAAUACCCAUUGCGAAAGCGAUCUGCUGGAACAUAACUGACGCUAAUGCGUGAAAGCGUGGGGAGCAACAGGAUUAGAUACCCCUGUAGUCCCUGUCUCUUAUACA
rnacentral:rRNA from 1 species